AUUGAACGCUGGCGGCAGGCCUAACACAUGCAAGUCGAACGAGUGGCGGACGGGUGAGUAAUGUCUGGGAAACUGCCUGAUGGAGGGGGAUAACUACUGGAAACGGUAGCUAAUACCGCAUACCAUCGGAUGUGCCCAGAUGGGAUUAGCUAGUAGGUGGGGUAAAGGCUCACCUAGGCGACGAUCACUAGCUGGUCUGAGAGGAUGACCAGCAACUCUGGGACUGAGACACGGUCCAGACUCCGACGUGAGGCAGGAGUGGGGAAUAUUGCACAAUGGGCGCAAGCCGGAUGCAGCCAUGCCGCGUGUAUUAAGAAGGCCUUCGGGUUGUAAAGUACUUUCAGCGGGGAGGCGUUACCCACAGAAGAAGCACCGGCUAACUCCGUGCCAGCAGCCGCGGUAAAUC
rnacentral:rRNA from 1 species